rnacentral:rRNA from 1 species
UACGGGGGGGGCAAGCGUUGUUCGGAAUUACUGGGCGUAAAGGGCUUGUAGGUGGCCAACUAAGUCAGACGUGAAAUCCCCCGGCUUAACCGGGGAACUGCGUCUGAUACUGGAUGGCUUGAGUGUGGGAGAGGGAUGCGGAAUUCCAGGUGUAGCGGUGAAAUGCGUAGAUAUCUGGAGGAACACCGGUGGCGAAGGCGGCAUCCUGGACCAUAACUGACACUGAUAAGCGAAAGCCAGGGGAGCAAACGGG